UGCUAACCUGGAUGGGUAACAUGUGCGUAAAAGCGCGCUGUGAUAACGUUGCCGCUCUGGGGCGCGGGUCGUGCGCCCGAACAGCGGCGUCCACGGGAGCGCGGUCAGACAGGGUCGCUGUGCUGCACACCAGGCCAGUUUUGCGGCGAUCGAUCCGAUGCCUGAGGGGCUGAAACCUCAUUCGCGGCCCCGGGGAGAGUUUGUUGCCGCCGCGCGUAAAAUUGUAAAAUCCUACUGCGCAAAAAUCCAAAGACCGCUGUGACAUCGGGACACGCUGACUGUCCCCCAAGACCCGCUGAUCCAAACCCGCGAACCAGGCCUGCCACAGGGAACCAGUCCCAGCCGUCACCUUAGAGAGGCGCUGCUGAGCACUUGGCCCCCAGACGGGUUAGGUUUCGGUUUCUCGCUCGUGACUCUGGGAUCCGGUUGCUGGAUGUUGUUAAAGGAUCAUUUGCACUGAUCACAUUUGAUUGGAAGAGCCUGCUGCAGACAGAGUUCAGGCAAGGCUGUGGAUGUCGGCUGUUAAGAGGCUGUUGACGACAUUGCUCAUAUAUUAUUGUGAGGAUUGGCCCCUAAAUACUCAAUCCAUUUUCUUCAUAUAGGCCUUUGACCUCUGUGACACUAUUUUUCCAGCUGGACUUUUAACCAAUCUUGUUUGUGUUGCCCUCCCAAAAAUCCGCUGACAGGAAGAAAUGUGUUGUUUUUUAUUAAGAUUUGCAAAAUGAAAUAUUUGAUUUAAUUAAAGCGCCUCUGUGACACAAUAAGCAAGACGGGGACCUUACACACAAUUACUGAACUCCGGUACCAAAAUUAAUGUUGAAAAAAAUAUUAAAGCCCAGUCUACUCUCUCAUGUUUCUUUUGUUUUUUUUUACACAAAGAGGACACACUUAUUGGGAUAACCACAUUUUGGA